UGAUCUGCUGAGGUGUGAGAUUCGGU
rnacentral:piRNA from 1 species